rnacentral:rRNA from 1 species
GGAAGUAAAAGUCGUAACAAGGUUUCCGUAGGUGAACCUGCGGAAGGAUCAUUAAUGAUUGGUGGCUGUUGCUGACUAGUGUUUCUAGUAUGUGCACGCCACACCUUCAAUCCCACUUACACCUGUGCACCUUCUGUAAUAGAUCUAUGUGGAUACGGAGAUAUGAAAGUUUGCGCUCUCGUACUCUGUUGAAGCAGUCUACUACGUUUUUUUACACACACACACAAUAGUCAUUGAAUGUAUUUUUUUAUUCUUAUGAUAAAAACAACUUUCAACAACGGAUCUCUUGGCUCUCGCAUCGAUGAAGAACGUAGCGAAUUACGAUAUGUAAUGUGAAUUGCAGAAUUCAGUGAAUCAUCGAAUCUUUGAACGCACCUUGCGCUCUUUGGUAUUCCGAAGAGCAUGCCUGUUUGAGUGUCAUGAAUCUCUCAAAUACAAUGAUUUUUAUUAAUUAUUGUGUUUGGACUUGGAAGCUUGUCGGCGCAAGUCGACUCUUCUUAAAUGCAUUAGCUGGGGUUUAUAUAGUUGGAUCCUUGGUGUGAUAAUUAUCUACGCCUUGAAGUCCCGGUAGACUCUGCUUCAAAUCGUCUCCUAGAGACAACAUUUGAAUCAUCUGACCUCAAAUCAGGUAGGACUACCCGCUGAACUUAAGCAUAUCAAUAAGCGGAGGA